rnacentral:rRNA from 1 species
CUGGCUCAGGAUGAACGCUGGCGGCGUGCUUAACACAUGCAAGUCGAACGAUGAUGCCAGCUUGCUGGCGGAUUAGUGGCGAACGGGUGAGUAACACGUGAGUAACCUGCCCUUAACUCUGGGAUAAGCCUGGGAAACUGGGUCUAAUACCGGAUAUGACUCCUCAUCGCAUGGUGGGGGGUGGAAAGCUUUAUUGUGGUUUUGGAUGGACUCGCGGCCUAUCAGCUUGUUGGUGAGGUAAUGGCUCACCAAGGCGACGACGGGUAGCCGGCCUGAGAGGGUGACCGGCCACACUGGGACUGAGACACGGCCCAGACUCCUACGGGAGGCAGCAGUGGGGAAUAUUGCACAAUGGGCGAAAGCCUGAUGCAGCGACGCCGCGUGAGGGAUGACGGCCUUCGGGUUGUAAACCUCUUUCAGUAGGGAAGAAGCGAAAGUGACGGUACCUGCAGAAGAAGCGCCGGCUAACUACGUGCCAGCAGCCGCGGUAAUACGUAGGGCGCAAGCGUUAUCCGGAAUUAUUGGGCGUAAAGAGCUCGUAGGCGGUUUGUCGCGUCUGCCGUGAAAGUCCGGGGCUCAACUCCGGAUCUGCGGUGGGUACGGGCAGACUAGAGUGAUGUAGGGGAGACUGGAAUUCCUGGUGUAGCGGUGAAAUGCGCAGAUAUCAGGAGGAACACCGAUGGCGAAGGCAGGUCUCUGGGCAUUAACUGACGCUGAGGAGCGAAAGCAUGGGGAGCGAACAGGAUUAGAUACCCGGG